AAAUGGAAGAAGCAAGAGCAACGAUGAGAUGAAGAGGCGAAUCGAUUCGAAAUAGGGAGAGGAAGAAAUAUAUAAGACGUCGACGUCUACGACGACGUCGCGACGUGACGAUGUGGAAUACGGUGAGAGAUGGAAGAGAAAACGUGAGAGAGAGAGAGAGAGAUGAAUAUGUGUGUGAGUGGAGGGGACUCGUGAGGAGAG
ensembl:ncRNA C05B5.13 ncRNA